rnacentral:tRNA from 1 species
AUAAAGAUAAGCUAAUAAAGCUAUUGGGUUCAUACCCCAUCUAUGUGAGUAAAAUCUUACUUUUUAUA